GAUUUCUGGUUAAGUAACGCUAGCCCGCCCUUGCCAGGGGUGUGCGCUGGUUAGUUGCUUGCCAUCUUUCUAGAAAGCCAGCGUUUGUCAUUCACUUGGCGGACGUGACGCGAUCUAGAUCUUUUACUUUGAAAAAAUUAGAGUGUUUCAAGCAGGCUUUAUGCUAUGAAUACAUUAGCAUGGAAUAAUAAUUUAGGACUUCGGUUCUAUUUUGUUGGUUUCUAGGACUGAAGUAAUGAUUGAUAGGGAUAGUUGGGGGUGCUAGUAUUCAGCGGCCAGAGGUGAAAUUCUCGGAUUCGCUGAAGACUAACUUAUGCGAAAGCAUU
rnacentral:rRNA from 3 species